GACAGAGGUGCCAAGCGUUAGGCGGAAUCACUGGGCGUAAAGCGCACGUAGGCGGUCUUUUAAGUCGGGGGUGAAAUCCUGGAGCUCAACUCCAGAACUGCCUUCGAUACUGGAAGACUCGAGUCCGGGAGAGGUGAGUGGAACUGCGAGUGUAGAGGUGAAAUUCGUAGAUAUUCGCAAGAACACCAGUGGCGAAGGCGGCUCACUGGCCCGGUACUGACGCUGAGGUGCGAAAGCGUGGGGAGCAAACAGG
rnacentral:rRNA from 1 species